rnacentral:rRNA from 1 species
UACGGAGGGGGCUAGCGUUGUUCGGAAUUACUGGGCGUAAAGGGCGCGUAGGCGGCUUGGUCAGUCCCGUGUGAAAUCCCUCGGCUCAACUGAGGAACUGCACGGGAAACUGCCUGGCUUGAGUUCGGGAGAGGGAAGCGGAAUUCCGGGUGUAGCGGUGAAAUGCGUAGAUAUCCGGAGGAACACCGGUGGCGAAGGCGGCUUCCUGGACCGACACUGACGCUGAGGCGCGAAAGCUAGGGGAGCAAACGGG